UGCUGAUCCACUCGUAGAUGCUGUCGAUAACUUUUCAACCGCAACAAGUAUUCCAUCGUUCUUCAUCUCAUUUAUUGCAUUGCCAUUGGCUACGAACUCUAGUGAAGCCGUAUCAGCCAUUAUCUUCGCUACCCGCAAAAAGCAGAGAACUGCAUCAUUAACAUUUUCCGAGGUUAGUUUCUUGUUACCCCACUUGUCUGAUCAUCAAGCUGCCGUAUAAAUAAAUCCUAAUCUUCGAAUUCCUCAAUGCAGCUUUACGGAGCAGUAACCAUGAAUAACGUUCUCUGCCUGUCGGUUUUCUUGGCACUCGUUUACGUCCGGGGAUUGACAUGGGACUUCUCAUCCGAAGUGCUGGUGAUUCUCAUUGUUUGCAUUGUGAUGGGCGCGUUCGCUAGUUUCCGAACUACUUUCCCUCUUUGGACAUGUUCAAUCGCUUACAUCCUUUAUCCUUUCUCCUUGGCGCUCGUUUAUGUUCUCGAUUAUGUCUUUGGCUGGUCGUAGGUUCAAUGAAUAGAGAUGGUAGUUUAGGAGGGUAAAGCCAUUUGUUUGUGAGCCUUCAUGGUUUUUCCCAAUGUAUGAACUUGUCAAACUCUUUUUCCCUUAGACAUUGGUUUUCAGAGAAGACUAUUCCGGAUUUGUUGUUAUGGUGUUUGUAAUUUGGAGCAGUAUAUACCUCAGUUUAUAUUAGCUCCAUUUAUGUCAGUUUUCUGUUUUCUUUUUUAAGCAACAAUAAUAAAAAAAUAUUUAUUUUUGUGAUACUCCGAACUCUCCAUUUCCAUCUUCUUUAAAGCAUUCAUAGCUAUUCGAAAAAUGAAUCAUUUUUAAAUGUUAAAAGGGAGUUUUAGAUUCAACCCAUCUUAAAGAAGCAAGGUAAAAUGAAAACUAAACCCAACCCAGUCUUCCAAAGAGAGCAGCAAUGACGGAUUUCAGUUAAAAAAGAGAACAGUACCUGGAACAUCAAUAUUGAGAUGCUAAGACAGUCGAAUUGAAGGCAGCCUCGGCCUGCAUGUGAUGUAACAAGAAAGAAAUUGCAGUCAGACUCUGAGACAAUUGCUGUGAUGUCGAAAAAGAAGAGCAUGCAAGUUUACUGUCAAAAGCUCGUACACAUAUGGGAAGCAAAAGAGGAGCUGAUGAAGGUAGCUUAGGCCUAGGGAGUUGAACUGAAUUGCAGAGAGAGAAAAGAAGCUGCUGCAGCCUGCAGUGGAAAACAUCUGGCUUAGUUAUCAUCUUAAAAAAUACAGUAUAAUGUUGACUUGACUUAAAAUGCUAGUCUUUGUUUAAUCAAACCAUUUGGUAUCUGAUGUAAUUCACUAUAAAUGUCUUUGCACUCACUUUCU
rnacentral:lncRNA from 1 species